rnacentral:rRNA from 1 species
AACGAUGAAGAGUUUGAUCCUGGCUCAGGAUGAACGCUAGCGGCAGGCCUAAUACAUGCAAGUCGAGGGGUAACAGAAAGUGCUUGCACUUUGCUGACGACCGGCGGACGGGUGAGUAACGCGUAUAUAAUCUGCCUCAUACUAGAGGAUAGCCCGAAGAAAUUUGGAUUAAGACUCUAUAGUAUCAUUUAAAGACAUCUUUUUAUGAUUAAAGGUUACGGUAUGAGAUGAGUAUGCGUUCUAUUAGUUUGUAGGUGAGGUAACGGCUCACCUAGACUACGAUAGAUAGGGGCCCUGAGAGGGGGACCCCCCACACUGGUACUGAGACACGGACCAGACUCCUACGGGAGGCAGCAGUAAGGAAUAUUGGUCAAUGGACGAAAGUCUGAACCAGCCAUGCCGCGUGCAGGAUGAAUGCCCUAUGGGUUGUAAACUGCUUUUAUACAGGAAGAAACACACCUACUUGUAGGUGCUUGACGGUACUGUAAGAAUAAGCACCGGCUAACUCCGUGCCAGCAGCCGCGGUAAUACGGAGGGUCCGAGCGUUAUCCGGAAUCAUUGGGUUUAAAGGGUCCGCAGGCGGUCAAUUAAGUCAGAGGUGAAAUACCAUAGCUCAACUAUGGAACUGCCUUUGAUACUGGUUGACUUGAGUCAUAUGGAAGUAGAUAGAAUGUGUAGUGUAGCGGUGAAAUGCAUAGAUAUUACACAGAACACCGAUAGCGAAGGCAGCUCACUAGGCCUGGAUUGACGCUCAGGGACGAAAGCGUGGGGAUCAAACAGGAUUAGAUACCCUGGUAGUCCACGCUGUAAACGAUGAUUACUCGUUUUCGGCGAUAUACAGUCGGAGACUAAG